GGGUAACCUACCUAUAAGACUGGGACAACUUCGGGAAACCGGAGCUAAUACCGGAUAAGAUAUCGAACCGCAUGGUUCGAUAGUGAAAGAUGGUUUUGCUAUCACUUAUAGAUGGACCCGCGCCGUAUUAGCUAGUUGGUGAGGUAACGGCUCACCAAGGCAACGAUACGUAGCCGACCUGAGAGGGUGAUCGGCCACACUGGAACUGAGACACGGUCCAGACUCCUACGGGAGGCAGCAGCC
rnacentral:rRNA from 1 species